ACGGGAGGCAGCAGUGAGGAAUAUUGGUCAAUGGGCGGAAGCCUGAACCAGCCAAGUCGCGUGAAGGAUGAAGGUAUUAUGUAUUGUAAACUUCUUUAGACGCAGAGAAAUAAGGUGCUCGUGAGCACUGAUGCUAGUAUGCGUAGAAUAAGGAUCGGCUAACUCCGUGCCAGCAGCCGCGGUAAUACGGAGGAUCCGAGCGUUAUCCGGAUUUAUUGGGUUUAAAGGGAGCGCAGGCGGAGAUGCAAGCCAGCCGUAAAAUCGUCGGGCUCAACCCGAUCUCGCGGUUGGAACUGCAUCCCUUGAGUGCGGGAGAGGAAGGCGGAACUCGUGGUGUAGCGGUGAAAUGCAUAGAUAUCACGAAGAACUCCGAUCGCGAAGGCAGCUUUCCGGCCCGUAACUGACGCUGAGGCUCGAAGGCGCGGGUAUCAAACAGGAUUAGAUACCCUGGUA
rnacentral:rRNA from 1 species